rnacentral:lncRNA from 1 species
AUGUGACGGUGAUCUGGCUGUGACAUCUAUCACCCCAUUAAUCACCAGGGUUGACUCAGCUGAUCUGGCUGGCUAGGCCAGUGUCCCCAUCCUGCCUCACCCCUUCACAUGUGUCCCUCCUCAAGCUGCAAGCUCAAGCUCGUCGAAAAGGGUAUUGGAAUAGUUGCUCUCCUCUGCUAGAACCUUCAAACAAACUCUCAGG